rnacentral:rRNA from 1 species
UUAACGAGUUUACUAGUUGUCGGUCUUAAUGACUUGUAACGCAGCUAACGCGUGAAGUAGACCGCCUGGGAGUACGGUCGCAAGAUUAAAANUCAAAGGAAUUGACGGGGACCCGCCCAAGCGGUGGAUGAUGUGGAUUAAUUCGAUGCAACGCGAAAAACCUUACCUACCCUUGACAUGGCUGGAAUCCCGGAGAGAUUUGGGAGUGCUCGAAAGAGAACCAGUACACAGGUGCUGCAUGGCUGUCGUCAGCUCGUGUCGUGAGAUGUUGGGUUAAGUCCCGCAACGAGCGCAACCCUUGUCAUUAGUUGCUACGAAAGGGCACUCUAAUGAGACUGCCGGUGACAAACCGGAGGAAGGUGGGGAUGACGUCAAGUCCUCAUGGCCCUUAUGGGUAGGGCUUCACACGUCAUACAAUGGUACAUACAGAGCGCCGCCAACCCGCGAGGGGGAGCUAAUCGCAGAAAGUGUAUCGUAGUCCGGAUUGUAGUCUGCAACUCGACUGCAUGAANUUGGAAUCGCUAGUA